rnacentral:rRNA from 1 species
AGUGAACGCUGGCGGCGUGCUUAACACAUGCAAGUCGAACGAGAACGGAAUAUAGCUUGCUAUAUUUGUCAGCUAAGUGGCGCACGGGUGAGUAAUGUAUAGAUAACCUGCCCUUAAGAAAGGAAUAACAGUUGGAAACGACUGCUAAUGCCCUAUAUGCCUUUAAUACAUAAGUAUGCAAGGGAAACGCUUUAGUGCUAGAGGAUGGGUCUGUAUGGUAUCAGCUUGUUGGUGAGGUAAUGGCUCACCAAGGCUAUGACGCCUAACUGGUUUGAGAGGAUGAUCAGUCACACUGGAACUGAGACACGGUCCAGACUCCUACGGGAGGCAGCAGUGGGGAAUAUUGCACAAUGGACGAAAGUCUGAUGCAGCAACGCCGCGUGGAGGAUGACACAUUUCGGUGCGUAAACUCCUUUUAUAUAGGAAGAUAACGACGGCACUAUAUGAAUAAGCACCGGCUAACUCCGUGCCAGCCGCCGCCGUAAGAC